GACGAACGCUGGCGGCGUGCUUAACACAUGCAAGUCGAACGGAAAGGCCUCUUUCGGGGGGUACUCGAGUGGCGAACGGGUGAGUAGCACGUGAGUAACCUGCCCUUGACUUUGGGAUAACUUCAGGAAACUGGGGCUAAUACCGGAUAGGAGCUCCUGCUGCAUGGUGGGGGUUGGAAAGUUUCGGCGGUUGGGGAUGGACUCGCGGCUUAUCAGCUUGUUGGUGGGGUAGUGGCUUACCAAGGCUUUGACGGGUAGCCGGCCUGAGAGGGUGACCGGCCACAUUGGGACUGAGAUACGGCCCAGACUCCUACGGGAGGCAGCAGUGGGGAAUAUUGCACAAUGGGUGGAAGCCUGAUGCAGCCACGCCGUGUGCGGGAUGACGGCCUUCGGGUUGUAAACCGCUUUCGCUCAUGACGAAGCUUUGUGUGACGGUAGUGGGUAAAGAAGCACCGGCUAACUACGUG
rnacentral:rRNA from 1 species